rnacentral:rRNA from 1 species
UAGGGAAUCUUCCGCAAUGGGCGAAAGCCUGACGGAGCAACGCCGCGUGAGUGAUGAAGGUCUUCGGAUCGUAAAACUCUGUUAUUAGGGAAGAACAAAUGUGUAAGUAACUAUGCACGUCUUGACGGUAUCUAAUCAGAAAGCCACGGCUAACUACGUGCCAGCAGCCGCGGUAAUACGUAGGUGGCAAGCGUUAUCCGGAAUUAUUGGGCGUAAAGCGCGCGUAGGCGGUUUUUUAAGUCUGAUGUGAAAGCCCACGGCUCAACCGUGGAGGGUCAUUGGAAACUGGAAAACUUGAGUGCAGAAGAGGAAAGUGGAAUUCCAUGUGUAGCGGUGAAAUGCGCAGAGAUAUGGAGGAACACCAGUGGCGAAGGCGACUUUCUGGUCUGUAACUGACGCUGAUGUGCGAAAGCGUGGGGAUCAAACAGG